rnacentral:misc_RNA from 1 species
GGCAGGAACUUCACCACCGUAAAUAGCUGUCAUCAAUCGGCGGUCGGAUCUGAAUUAAUGGAGCGAGAAGUGUUAGAAGCAGAACUAGUACUUCCAACUCACAUGAAAUUUAAGAAGAUUCAGAUGUACGACAAGUACCCUAAAGGACAAGCAAGAGGACGGCACUGGAAACAUCUCAAGCAGAUUAUACAAGCAGAAAAUUACGAAAAUUAUCCUCCUCAUCUACCUACUUAUGUUAACAUUGAAACGCCACCUUCUAUGCAUCCUGGCAAAAAGAUAUGUGACAUAACAGGAUUCGAGGCACCGUAUUUUGACCCAAGAACUAAACUCCGUUAUGCUAAUACUGAGGUUUUUAAGACAAUAAGGUCGCUCCCUAAUGACUAUGUUCAGAGGUACUUGGCUCUCAGAAACGCAGCUGUUGUUUUGAGAUAGGUGCACAAUGCAGAAUAGAUAGUUGUAAAUUAAUGUGGAAAGUAGUGGACAUUUGAAUUUGUCGUUUCUGAAUGCUCAGGUGCAUAACUGUACUUUGACUUGUACUAAGAGAAUCAAUCUAGCCUAGUUUUGUUAGAUGUCGUAAAUUGCUAUGGGCAUUUAGUACUGAA